ACUUCGGGAAACCGGAGCUAAUACCGGAUAAUAUAUUGAACCGCAUGGUUCAAUAGUGAAAGACGGUUUUGCUGUCACUUAUAGAUGGAUCCGCGCCGCAUUAGCUAGUUGGUAAGGUAACGGCUUACCAAGGCAACGAUGCGUAGCCGACCUGAGAGGGUGAUCGGCCACACUGGAACUGAGACACGGUCCAGACUCCUACGGGAGGCAGCAGUAGGGAAUCUUCCGCAAUGGGCGAAAGCCUGACGGAGCAACGCCGCGUGAGUGAUGAAGGUCUUCGGAUCGUAAAACUCUGUUAUUAGGGAAGAACAAAUGUGUAAGUAACUAUGCACGUCUUGACGGUACCUAAUCAGAAAGCCACGGCUAACUACGUGCCAGCAGCCGCGGUAAUACGUAGGUGGCAAGCGUUAUCCGGAAUUAUUGGGCGUAAA
rnacentral:rRNA from 1 species